UCUUGUCUCUGUCUAAGGUGAGCAGUAUCUGUUACAGAUGCUGAAGGCAGCAUCAAGGCAUAUGCUGACCAGCACAAAAUUGAUGCCCAAGCAUCGUGGGAGGGACAGUGAGUCCUGGCUUCUGCUGUGUUCUGAGCUUGGUGGGCAACUGCCUCGAGCAGAGGCAGAAUGAGCCAGCAAUGUGCCCUUGCUGCAAAGAAGCCAAUGUUAUCCUGGGCUGCAUUAGGCAUGGCAUUGCCAGCAGCUCAAGGGAGGUGAUCCUGCUCUCUGCUCAGCACUGGUGAGGCCACACCUGGAGUAUUGUGUCCAAUGCCAGGCAGUGUAUAGAAAUUCCUGAAGGGAGGGUGUGGGAAAGACAAAGCCAGGUUCUAUUCAUUAAUAACCAGUGACAGAACAUGAGUCAGUGGGCACAAGCUGAAACACAGAAGGUUCCCUCUGAACAUGAUGAAACACUUUUUUACUGUGAGAGUGAUGGAGCACUGGCACAGGUUGGCCAGAGAAGUUGUGAAGUUUCCUUCCUUGGAGAUAAUCAAAAGCCAUCUGAGUACAGUUCUGGGCAACCAGCUCUAGGGUGGUCCUCCUUGAGUAGGGGCGUUGAGCCAGAAGAGCUUCAGCUGUCCCAGCCUCAGCCAUUCUGUGUGAUUAACUGUUUAAUGUAGAGAUUCCAUCCCACUCUGGACUUGAGACAUUGCUUAGGCUCUGUUUAGUAUAAAAUGAUGGAAAGUUAACACUUUGUGAAGGUAGGUGUUAAUUAAUGCUCUUUGAAUGAAAAAUAGAUUUUAUUGAACGGUACUUUUCCUCUGCAGGUUCAAUUGAUACAUUGACCUCUUCAUGUGUCCCUGCAUCACACAAAGAGCUGAUGUGUCACAGUGCAUGGGGUUAGACUUUAAAAAGCAGCAUUUUUGAACAGAGUAGCUAAGGACUUUUGUUUUUGUUACUAUUGCUAUUAAAUGGCAAUCCGAGGUGUUAAAAUUCAGCUUUAAGUUCUAGUUUUUCUUGUUGAGCAAAGUUGGCCUAUAGUUUAGAUCCUAUAGAUUUCCCAUUGAUUUUGCUCUAUUUUAACUUAAAUGGUUCAAAAAUAACAGUAUUUAAUCUCUCAAAGAUAUGCAUCGUGAUGUAUAACAGUUUAUACUGGAUGUCAAACACCCCAUAAAUCCAUUUUUUUAACUAUUCCCAGACUGGGUGAUAUUAGAGUUCUCUGACAAGAAACUGAGAACUACUUUGGUGAACUUACUAUUGGAAAUGAGUUUUGCAUUAAGGUGUCUGGUAGAGAUUAGUGCAGCCUACAUCCUGUGCCAGUUUUUGUGUAACUACAAAAUAAGUGACUGCAUCCUUCAAAUGGCAGUUUAGUGGCAUUUUCCUGCAAUACGUGAAUGUCACAUAUCUAGGAAACUUCAGGCAUAAAGCUGCAUUUUCAAUAGACAUAAACACUUGAUUAUGUGGAAUCUCCCGUAUUUUUUUACUUUUUAAUUUUUUUUAAAAUUGGUGCACUUUGGUAAGAAAACAGGUAAGCCUGGGCACUAAAUCCAUCUACAAGUAUUUUGUAAGACUACAGUAAAAAUUAAUGUUAUGUGUAUUUUGCAAUAAUGGUAAUGGAGCAAUACGUACAAACAUGUCUGCAUGCAUUUUCCUUUCACAAGCACAUUACUCGUUGUUGAUCCAACUGCUGAAGAAGAUGAUUUAGCAACUGGAACAGUAACCAUUGUCUGAUGAAGUAGGCAGACUCUGUUCUGUCCAUAAGCCAGGUGGAAUUCCUUUUACAGAAGCCAAGCUUCAGGACUAUAUCACCAGAGCAAUUACAAGACACAAAGAAGUAAAGAAGCUGAUUGACAAAGUAAUAAAAAGUACAGUGCCCAAGUGAACAAAAUGAGAGAUCUUUUCAAAAAUGGAUUUGUAAAAAUUGUAUUUGUUACAGUGUUCACAAACCUUUUAUACUAAAUAAACAAUUACCAAUACUACCUUUACAAAGGAAGUCCGGAGAAGCAAUGCAUUAAUUUCAGGGGCAGGUGGAUAAAGCCCCUAGGAAUGUAUUGUAACAAGCUCUAAUAUUCAGUAAAGCUUAGAAACAUA